AUGGUUCAAAUGGUAGAGCAUCUGCUUAAGAAGCAUAAAGCACUGAGUUCAAAUCCCAGU
rnacentral:tRNA from 1 species